rnacentral:rRNA from 1 species
UACGUAGGGUGCGAGCGCUGUCCGGAAUUAUUGGGCGUAAAGAGCUUGUAGGCGGUUUGUCGCGUCUGCUGUGAAAAUCCGGGGCUCAACCCCGGACUUGCAGUGGGUACGGGCAGACUAGAGUGUGGUAGGGGAGACUGGAAUUCCUGGUGUAGCGGUGGAAUGCGCAGAUAUCAGGAGGAACACCGAUGGCGAAGGCAGGUCUCUGGGCCAUUACUGACACUGAGAAGCGAAAGCAUGGGGAGCGAACAGG